GACUCUGUCGCUCAAUUGGUUAGAGCGCUGCACCGGAAUCGCAGAGCAUGCAGCAGGUUUGAUUCCUGCCAGAGGAU